rnacentral:piRNA from 1 species
UAACCAGCUGGGUGGAUGGUGGUUCC